rnacentral:lncRNA from 1 species
AUGAAUACUAGUCGGAUUCGUUUCUGCUGCACCACAAUGGAAACUCCCGACAAUAUCAGCUGGAAAUUACCUAUGGAAGCUGAGUCACCUACCUCGCUCCUGGAGCCCACUGGCUGUUUCCAAGGCCUUCUUCAUUAUUCAAACCACGACUCCAUCACAGGAAUACCCAAAGCAACAUUUGAUAGUUGUGGAAGAUUUUUACCCUCACAAGUCAUGAAUACUUUCUGUUUAUUGCUUACACUGAGGAUUUAUGACUAUCUAAGUGUUGUAUUUCCGAAGGGAAGCAUCCUAUCCUCAGAUCCAUUCUGCUCACGUCAGAAUACCUUUGAAGACUAGGCACUUAUUAUUUCUACAAUGAAUCUGUUUCCUCCAGACUCCCGGCUGUCACCGUCCUGACCUGCCACCUGUGUCACAUCCCAUCAAGUGCUGUGGAUGAGCCAGGUACCAGUAAACCAGCCCCCGAGGCUGGAGAAAUGUUGGAUGUAGAUGCUCACAGAAUCAUUCAUCAAAUCUUGGAAGCUUCGGAGAGAAGUGCGUAAAAUGAAAAUUUAGUUCCAGAGAAAUAGAGCCUCAAUUUAAUACCAUCUACCAAAGCACUGCCACGUCUGUCAUCUU